UAAAAACAAACAAACAAAAAAACAAGCAUAGAAUUAUAAGCUUUAAUUAAUAUUUAUUGUUUCCAGAUGUUGUUUUUUGUCAGUUUAUCACUAAUACUUUUUGGACUCUUCCCUAACGUAUGAUGAAGGUAUUACAUAUGCUGGGUGAAGAAUGUAGUCAGUUUAUCACUAAUACUUUUUGGACUCUUCCCUAACGUAUGAUGAAGGUAUUACAUAUGCUGGGUGAAGAAUGUAGUGUAGCAUGUCCUCUUAUCAUUUACUUAAAUUUGUCAGAUUUUACAAAUCAAAGUACAAAUGUGUUUCUUUUGCCCUAGAUCUCGGUUUAUCAAAGUUAAUUAAAAAGAAUAUGUGACUUAAAUUUAACAUGCAAUCUCAGUUAAGGACAUCAAAAGAGUAAAAAUUAAUAGAAUUAAUUGUGAAGUAUUUAGAAACGGUGUGAUGCUUAAUGAUAUGAAGAGAGAAACGGGUAAUUUGACAACAGAUACAGUGAAAGUAGGGUUGUCCCAGUAGAAGGCCUUAAGUAUACUAAUUUAAUGCUUUUGACAGUGCUUUAAGUCGCUGCAAGUUAAGUGUUUUAAACUUUGACACGUGAAUUUUAAGGUCUAGAAACGGCGCAUAAGAUUUGAAAGUGUAUCGCGAAAAAUUCAUCAUGAUGCAAAAUUUUAAAAUGAAAAAAAAGUUGGAUUUUCAAUUUUUUUUAUAGUUUACCAAUGAGAAUUAUUUCUAUUUAACUGACCAGUUUCUGUGUAUGUGCCAAACUAUCGGUGUAGUAAUAAUCUUACAAGUAAACAUGCAGUGUGAGUAACCAUAAUUUCAUCAUUUUUUACGGUUCACUUAAUUGUGGAAAGUUCUAGAAUUGGACAGACUGGUAGUUUUUUUGGGAAUAACUUGCUAUAAAGGUACUGAAACUAGAGAACUCAUUAGGGAUGGUAGAAGUAAUCAUUAACAAUUAAACUAUGUAAUUGUUCAAAUAAAAAAAAAAGAUUGUGUUUCAGAGGUGGCGGUGGAAAAUAAAUUAUUUGUUAAAUAUCAGAAAAGUAUGUUUGUCUGAUUGUGUAUCA